AGUGAACGCUGGCGGUAGGCCUAACACAUGCAAGUCGAACGGCAGCACAGUAAGAGCUUGCUCUUACGGGUGGCGAGUGGCGGACGGGUGAGGAAUACAUCGGAAUCUACUUUUUCGUGGGGGAUAACGUAGGGAAACUUACGCUAAUACCGCAUACGACCUACGGGUGAAAGCAGGGGAUCUUCGGACCUUGCGCGAUUGAAUGAGCCGAUGUCGGAUUAGCUAGUUGGCGGGGUAAAGGCCCACCAAGGCGACGAUCCGUAGCUGGUCUGAGAGGAUGAUCGGCCACACUGGAACUGAGACACGGUCCAGACUCCUACGGGGGGCAGCAGUGGGGAAUAUUGGACAAUGGGCGAAAGCCGAAGCCAGCCAUACCGCGUGGGUGAAGAAGGCCUUCGGGUUGUAAAGCCCUUUUGUUGGGAAAGAAAAGCAGCAGGUUAAUACCCCGCUGUUCUGACGGUACCCAAAGAAUAAGCACCGGCUAACUUCGU
rnacentral:rRNA from 1 species